GUGGGGAAUCUUGCGCAAUGGGCGGAAGCCUGACGCAGCGACGCCGCGUGCGGGAGGAAGGCCCUCGGGUCGUAAACCGCUUUCAGCAGGGACGAGGCCGCAAGGUGACGGUACCUGCAGAAGAAGCCCCGGCUAACUACGUGCCAGCAGCCGCGGUAAUACGUAGGGGGCGAGCGUUAUCCGGAUUCAUUGGGCGUAAAGCGCUCGUAGGCGGCCUGCCAGGUCGGGAGUCAAAUGCGGGGGCCCAACCCCCGGCCGCUCCCGAUACCGGCGGGCUUGAGUUUGGUAGGGGAAGGCGGAAUUCCCGGUGUAGCGGUGGAAUGCGCAGAUAUCGGGAAGAACACCGGUGGCGAAGGCGGCCUUCUGGGCCACGACUGACGCUGAGGAGCGAAAGCUGGGGGAGCGAACAGGAUUAGAAACCCCAGUAGUCC
rnacentral:rRNA from 1 species